CGCGAUCAUAUUGACUGGGACUGAAUCAUUGACUGGAUCAUAGGACUGGGCAAAUGUGUCUUCACAGACGAGUCCACGGUUUGCACGAAAUGGAACCAGCAACAGAAAGUUUACCGGCCAGACCUAAUGAGGUUUGAUCCACACUAUGUUCAGAAGGUCAAGUCUAGUGGCAGGACGAGUGUAAACAUUUGGGGAGUAAUAACUAAGGACGGUCUUGGCCCACUCCGUCGUAUAUCGGGCCGUUUCUGUGCAGAAGCAUACCUGGAGAUUAUUAAUGAGGAGCUUCUUCCCCAUCUUCUGGACGGCCCUUUCACGGAUGGUUGCUUCUACCUACAGCAUGACCUGUCACCGGUUCAUACUGCACGCGCCGUGAAAGAACUUCUGGAACAACUAGGCAUCAUGACGUUGUCUUGGCCUCCCCCAGGGAGCGGACCUCAAUAUAAUUGAAAAUGUGUGGGGUAUCCUCAAGUCCAACUUGUCAAAAAUGAGUCUGCACGAUGCAUCGCCAGACGACUUAUGGGAAGCCGUGAAGAGUGAAUGGGAUGCCCUCAAGGAUAACAUGAACCUUGUGCCCGCACUCUUCGACUCCCUGCCCAGGCGCAUCGCGGGUGUUGCUCAGUCUGGAGGAGAAUUUCAGCGUUAUUAACUUCUAAGUCUGAUGUGUGAAAACCUUGAGUCAAGGCCUUGUUUCAGUUCUAAAAUGCACCAUGCAAAUAAAAGUUAUAACUUCCGCGGA